UUUGAAGACACAUCUGUGACCUAAUAAACAAAUAAGGUGUGGUGGGAACCAAAGUGGAAAAUCAGGAUCCCAGGCACCACCUCACAGCAUGUUCUCUGUAAUGGGACACUCUAAGCCAAUCUCAGCCAGAAAGCAUUAAAAACUAGGCGAGACUAACCUGACUAAGAAGAAAGUGAAUGUCUCACCACAGAGUCAGAAGCAGAAAAUAAGGAGUCCUGUUCUCCGACUCUACAUGGAAAAGAGAGCCAUUUCCUUUCGCUCCUUUGAACACAAGACAUCCUGUACAUCGGUCACGAGUGCAUCUGGCUUCAAGCCACAGAAACUCCAAGACCCUAACUUGCUCUCAGUGGCUUUGCUGACAAUACGGAGGAAAUAAGAGAGUGGGAACAGACUGUUGCUGUAAAACAUAAUCAGUUCUGUCCUAGCAUGUACACUACCAGUUAAAAACGCAGAGAAGUGGGACAUGAGCCCAGUGGGAUGGGUCAGGAAGAGCUAUGAAGAGCAGGUAAGGAUUAAGAUGGUCUUAAAAGAGUAAGUAAAAUCACUUAAGGGGGAAGAGGGAAACCAAAAUUGUUUUUGGAUUUGGUCUAAACAUACACCAUCUGAUCCGUUAGCCUACCUGGUAGAUUCAGACAUCAUAAUACUAAAUUAAGAUAUAACCAUGAUUUUCACGCAUUAUUCUUUGAGACGACCGCUUUUGAGAGACCACUUCACCAGAGGCCAUGUAUAGUAGUGGUUGAAAGUUUUGAUUUUAGAUUCAUGUAGAUGAGGGUUUGAGUCUCCCUCUCUCUCUCUUUUUUUUUUUGACGGU
rnacentral:lncRNA from 1 species